CCGACACUUAGAAGGGUCGGGAGAAAAUAUUUCACCCUCCCUGCUAAUGAAAAAUGUACAGUAAAUUUUUGCACGGAAGAAAUUUUACUUAAUUGGAAUGACCUACGCGGCAAUCCUGUGCAAGGGCAAUAUACCAAUUUUAUUAGGAUUCAAUUUGGAAAGUUCUUACAUGAUCCAACAGGAACAUGGACUUGGUAUAACUGUUGUAUGUUCUUGCACAUGUCUACUCCAAUCGUAUCGCGCGUUUUUAGUGCCGUUCGCUUGCCAUUGUGUUUAGGUUAGUGACAGGAUAGGCGAGAUGGUCU